rnacentral:rRNA from 1 species
AUUGAACGCUGGCGGCAGGCCUAACACAUGCAAGUCGAACGAGUGGCGGACGGGUGAGUAAUGUCUGGGAAACUGCCUGAUGGAGGGGGAUAACUACUGGAAACGGUAGCUAAUACCGCAUACCAUCAGAUGUGCCCAGAUGGGAUUAGCUUGUUGGUUGGGUAACGGCUCACCAAGGCGACGAUCCCUAGCUGGUCUGAGAGGAAGACAAGCCAGACUGGAACUGAGAUACGGUCCAGAAGCCUACGGGAGGCAGCAGUGGGGAAUAUUGCACAAUGGGCGCAAGCCGGAUGCAGCCAUGCCGCGUGGAUGAAGAAGGACUGCGGGUUGGAAAGUACUUUCAGCGGGGAGGCGUUACCCGCAGAAGAAGCACCGGCUAACGCCGUGCCAGCAGCCGCGGUAAUUC